rnacentral:rRNA from 1 species
CGGACGGGUGAGUAACACGUGGAUAACCUACCUAUAAGACUGGGAUAACUUCGGGAAACCGGAGCUAAUACCGGAUAAUAUUUUGAACCGCAUGGUUCAAAAGUGAAAGACGGUCUUGCUGUCACUUAUAGAUGGAUCCGCGCUGCAUUAGCUAGUUGUAAGGUAACGGCUUACCAAGGCAACGAUGCAUAGCCGACCUGAGAGGGUGAUCGGCCACACUGGAACUGAGACACGGUCCAG